GGGUAGGACAACCCGCUAGACUUAAGCAUAUU
rnacentral:rRNA from 1 species